rnacentral:lncRNA from 10 species
UGAGACCUUGUAUCAAAAAAGAGGAAAAAAAUUGAGACUUUGGUCAUGUUAGAGGUUGGCUGACUGACCUUCACCAUCAGUGCCUGCCCAAGACCAUGGGAACCCACCUCUUGCAUCAGUGAGACCUGGAUGUGAGACAUGGAGUCAAAGGAGAUCAUUUUGGGGCUUUAAGAUUUGACUGCCCCGUUGGAUUUUGAACUUGCAUGGAACAUUUAGCCCCUUCAUUUUGGCCAAUUUCUCCCAUUUGGAAUGGGUGUAUUUAUCCAAUGCCUGUACCCCCAUUGUAUCUAGGCAGUAAUUAACUUGCUUUUGAUUUUACAGGCUCAUAGGCAGAAGGGACUUGCCUUGUCUCAGAUGAGACUUUGGACUAUGAACUUUUGAAUUAAUGCUGAAAUGAGUUAAGACUUUGGGGGACGGUUGGGAAGGCAUGAUUAGUUUUAAAAUGUGAGGACAUGAGAUUUGGGAGGGGCUGGGAGCAGAGUAAUAAGUUUUGGCUGUGUCCCCACCCGAAUCUCAUCUUGAAUUAUAGCUCCCAUAAUUCCCAUGUGUUGUGGGAGGGACCCAGUGGGAGAUGACUGAAUCAUGGGGGUGGUUCCCCCAUACUGUUCUCAUGGUAGUGAAUAAGUCUCAUGAGUUCUGAUGGUUUUAUAAGGGGUUUCCCCUUUUGCUUGGCUUUCAGUCUCUCCUGCCUGCUGCCAUGUAAGACAUGCCUUUUGCCUUCUGCCAUGAUUGUGAGGCCUCCCCAGCCACAUGAACUGGUCUCACUCUGUCACCCAGGCUGGAGUGCGGUGGCACAAUCACGGAUCACUACCACCUCAACUUCCUGGGCUCAAGCGUUCCUCCCAUCUCGGCCUCCGGAGUAGCUGGGACUAUAAGCAUGCACCACCACACCCGGCCUCAUUCAACAACCUACUAUGUGUCAUGUAGAGAGGGAUCUGACAGAGAAACAGUAAGUAGUGCCUUAACUGAAAUGGUCACACUGGGUGAUUCCAAGGGACCCCACAGUUUUUCUUUCCUAAUUGCCUUGCAACAAAGUAGACGCCAGCCCCAAAUUUCAGAUCCCGCAUGACUUAGUUCAUGACCAACACUACUGCUACUAGCUAAUAUUUUCCGGUAUCUAUUCUUUACUAGACACUCUGCUGAGACCACUUUACCAACUACAGCCAAUACCACUCAUUAGGAACUUAACAUCUAUUUCUCUCUUCUCUUUCACAAAAAAAACCUCACUUUUAUUCAGGUGGCACCAGAGGGCACAGGCACCGCAAUUUGACUAUUAGCAUCCAAACGUAUGCCCUGAUGGACACAGAGGUACUAUUUCAUUCAUUUCUCAGAAGUCAGUGAGACAGAGGUUAAUGUCAUUUCCAUUUUACAGUGGAGCAGACUGAGGUUUGGAGAGUACAUGAAUUGCUUCUAACUGAUGAAGGUAGAAUGUGAAUCCAAGCAAUUGGAUUCUGGAACCUAUGUUCUUUCUAUUCUUUUGGUCUUUCCCCAUUUGUACAGACAGCACAUAUAAACAUUCUUGAAUUUAACCCUCCCAAGAACUUGGCAGGUGGUGUAACAGGUAAGGUUUUCGAAUAUCUGCUGAUAUAUGUUCUCUAAUCUGUCUGCUGGCUUCACUCUCUGAGUCACCUCUCUCUUCACUUUUAAGGCUAACGUCUUGCAGCCCAGUGGAGUGGAGAGUGUAGAAAAAGAGACAGAGAAAGGCAAGAAGCGGUCAGCUGUGUCGGGAUCUAGGCACAACUCCUAGGAGGCGAGUGUUAGGGCUUGGAGAAAGUCAAAAGCAGAACAGCUUUUGCAUCAUUUUCCAUGUGACGUUCUGGAAACAGACAACAUUAAAAUCAGCUUACAACAGAGUUAGGCAGAGGGAGGGCUCAAAUUUUGCAUCCAGAAGUUUCCAGAAUGUUCCAGGUAGCCUACGGAGGGAUCUAUAGAAGGUGCUGAUGGUGAUAAUAAGUGAGACUGAUUGAACUUGCUGUAGGAAGGGUGCAGUAGCUCUCAAACUGAGAGCUACAUGGUGACGAGAAAUGAGACAGGGGCAAAAGGUUCAUGGCAACCAGACCCCAGAUGAAAUUUGGCACCAGAAAGAGCCAAGGUAGGGCUGGUCAGUGGGAAGAUGCCUUGAGUGGACUAAGUUGACCACCAGCUGUCCAGGAGCCUACCAGUUGUAGACCCAGCAACUGUGGCCUGCUGGGACAGUGUUGGGGCAAGGGACCAUAUUGUCACAGAGGUCAGCAAGGGCCUCCUGAGCAGUAUUCCGAAACAUUGGGUUCUCUUCUAUAUAUCCCGAAUGCCACCUUGAUGAGACAGAGGAGGGGAAGGAAAUCUGAAAUGACAAAGUCUCUCAAACCAAGAUAAUAUGGCAAUAUCAUUCAUUGGCAGGUUCUAGUUCCUCUAGAUCAAUGAUGACCUUAUGGGCAAAACUUGGGAGGAAGAUUGGUGCAGUUAUGGAACAUCCAGAAGCAACCUUUGCUUUGCACAGCUGAGCUGUGAAGGGAGCGUGUGCUACUGUUUAGUCCUGGUACACAGAAUUCCUACUUUCUCCAGAUUAUAGCAGACAAGCAAACUGGAAGUCACUGUGAAAACCACCUACCUUCUCUGAGCCUCAAUUUCCUUGCUUUUAAAAUGGGAAUAAUAAGGGCCACCUCCCAGGAUUAUGAGGGUAAAAUGAAGAUCGGCGCCAUGAAUAGCAUGACAAAGGUCACAUGCUAGACAUGGGACCGUAAGGCUCUCCCUGCCUUCCACCCCACUGUCUUCCCAUGGACGCUGUCAUGAGAGACACCUAGAGCCAACUGGGACCUGAAUGGCAGCUUGGUGACAGGAAAGAGACAGGCCUCAUUUUAAUGCUUGUGGAGAACCUAGGUGAGGAUCAUCUUGUCACCAGUUGGUGUUUAUUGACACUUAGUAGACUGACUGACUGACUGACUGACUGAAUGAAUGAAUGACAAGGCCUUUACUAGGGACUACGGGAGUCUUAGACACCAAGUGUUGUCAUGUGAGGCUCCAGCGUGUUUUGGUGGGAUCACCUAAAUGGCAGAAGUCAUUUUUUCAGUCUCAUAAGUCUCAUAAGGUGACAGUUCAGAUGUCACCUCCUCCAGGAAGACUUCCGUGAUACUCCCAGUCUGGUUUAGUCACUACUGAGUGCUCCUAUCACUGCACUAUAUGGAUUAGUCUGUCCAUUGAGGUUUUCUCACUUGAUGGUGAGUUCUUAGAGGCAAGAUUACGUCUCAUUUCCUCUCCCCGUGUGCCUAGCACAAGGUUCGGCCCAAGGUGGGCAUGUAGGAGAUCAUAGGAGCCAUUUAUUGAGUGCUUUCAGGUACCUGGUGCUGGGCUAAGUGCUUUAGCUAUGAUAUCCUUGAUUCCUUCAAUAACCUCAGGAGCUAGGGCCACCUCAUCAUGCCAUUGUACAGGUAGAAAAGGUGAGGCUCAGAGACGCUAAGCAGCCUGAUAUUUCUUCCUUGUUUCUAUAUCUUUCUUUGCCAGACUGCCUGGCCUAGAUUCUUGAGGUUUGGGAAUAGCAUAAACCUCAGGGUGUUGAGGCGGUCUGGUUGGCUUGGUGCGUGGGUAGGAAGAUGCAACAAUGAAGAAAGAGUACAUGCUAGCAGCUGGCAUCCACAGUGCAUGCCAGACACAGGACCACAGCACCGAGACCACCCGAGGAGAAAUGCCUCGUGGCCUCUGAAUGGGGAGUGUUAACCACACAUUCUAUAGGACCCAUCUGCUAACUGAUUUGGAACAAAUGGGUGCUUGAGAGCUUGUGCUGUUAACAUGUAUGCAUGAUGCUUCUGGCAGAAAGAAUGGGGAAAACAAAACCCAAAGUCCCCUCCAAAUCCCAGCAACACAUAUGGAAGUACGCAGAGGUGAGCAGACAUAAGAUGUAGACAGCAACACAAAAAUAUCAGCACCAUAGUCAAGAAGGAAGAACAGUGCAACACCCAUUGCAUAUCCCAUUUUAAAAAUAAAAUAAAAUGAGGCCACAAGUUUGCUUUUCCAAGGAGCCCCACAGUCUCCAGAAGUCUCCCAGAGGACCCGUUCCUUUGCGGGCCUUUCCUGCCCAAGCUCCGGGCUACCCGUAAAUCUGACCCUCUCCAGGGCCAGGAGGCCUCAAGAGCUUGGAGACUCACCGGAGCAAACAACUUAGCAAAAACAAUCUGUCCCAUAAACAAAGCCAGUGGAAAGCAUCCAGGCCCACACAAUGGAGCUAAUCUUCUGGGCACACAUUUCCCGUCUGGGGUAUUAGCAAGGAUACCGCUUCCUUCUAGGUGGAGGUAAACGCUGCUUGGCCUACGGGUCCAAGAACAACAAUCCUCUGUAGAUUCCCCCCUUGUUUGAAACGUAACAGGCAGGAAUUCAGAAGCAAGGAGCUGUUCUUCCCCCCUUCCUUUCUUUUCUUAAAGAAGCACUGCAAAUUUAAAGGCCAGGGAACUUAUGGGGAAGGACAUGCUUUAUGAACCACACAACCACACAAGUCUCUGAUUUAGCUCAUUCACUGAUGAGCCCUGUGAUUUGGGACAACUGAUUUAACUUCCCAGAACCAUAACUUCCCCAUGGUUCAAGUGAGAUUGCCUACAGAUGUCCAAUCCUGCUUGUUCUCAUGGAGGUAUAAAAUUAAAAUGUUGAAUGGCCACUAUCAAAAACAAGAAAACAAACCCAGUGGCCAGGUGCGGUGGCGCACACCUGUAGUCCCAGCACUUUAGGAGGCCCAGGUGGGCGGAUCACCAGAGGUCAGGAGUUCAGACUAGUCUGGCCAACGUGGUGAAAAUCCAUCUCUACUAAAAAUACAAACUUAGCCCGGCGUGGUGGCGGGUGCCUGUAAUCCCAGCUACUUGGGAGGCUGAGGCAGGAGAAUUGCUUGAACCCAGGAGGCUAAAGUUGCAGUGAGCUGAGAUCACGCCAUUGCACUCCAGCCUGGGCAACAAGAGCACAACUCCAUCUCAAAAACAAACAAACAACCCAGAAAAUAACACGUGUUGGUGAGGAUGUGCAGAAAUCAGGACCCUUGUGCACUGUUGGUGGGAAUACAAGAUGGGUCAGCAUCAUGGAAAACAGUAUGGAGUUUCCUCAAAAAAUUAAAAAUAGAAUUACCAUGUGAUCCAGCAGACCCACUUCUGGAUAUA